AGAUGUGAGGGAUAUCUCUGGCUGAAACAUGUCACCCCAUUGAUCGUCAGGGUUGAUUCAGCGGAUCUGGCUGACUAGGCAGGUGUUUCCUUCCUCCCUUACUGCUACCACGUGCAUCCCUCGUGAAGCUGCACAUUUGGUCCAGGAAGAUAACCUUCCCUGAUAGAGGAGUGGACUAUUCUUCGGUCAUGGGUAUGUGAGUAUCUGUGCUCCUUGACUAGAACCUCUAAAAAAGCUCUCAGAGACCAUUUCUUUGCUUACUAAGAUAAUUACCAAAAUAUACAUAUAUAAAAAUGUACACAUUUGGUUU
rnacentral:snRNA from 1 species